UCUUACUUCACUUACAGAGUUUAUAGGAAAGUUGAAUAACUAUGCAACUAGAGUCUCUAAGUAGAAGUUCUAACAAAUCCUAAGAUGCUGCAGUGUACUGAAAGAGGACAAAAUUUGAUCCCUAAAGCCCUCUCCAAUCUCACACUCAGUGAAUAUAGCAAACAAAAGGCUUCAGUGCUAGUGGAAAACUGAGUUCUUCAAAAGCAGGUAAAGGUCCUGUUUACUCCUUCCCGAGAGCUGAGAAAGGGUUUUCAGAUUAUAAGUAACAGAGUUGACCUUGUAUGGCACAGAACUGGGAUAAGACUUUACUACUUAGGGUCUUAAAUAAUGAAGUCAGUGGAAUAGGACUGAAAACGAACAUAAAGAACAGCUUUAGCUUUGACGCAAAGAACUGCAUCAGUGCUUGACAAAACCGAAGAUUCUUAAUUUUUAAAAACGCUUCCUUUAAGCACUUCCUAACCUUUCAUUAUCUGAGACAACAUAUCAAGUGAACAGCAGUACAAAGGAUGCAUGUGAUUUCGAAAUGCCACAGUUGAGCCAACUGCAGUUGCACGCGUAUGUAGUAUGGAAGCGGGAUAAAAAAAAAUAAUAUAGGAAGCAUAGGGUUUCAUCUGCAUAAAAUGAUACUCUCCCCAUCUUCUAUAGCAUAAGUUUUGCGAAGGUAAGUUUCUGCCCGCUUGGAAGCGCCCCCAGGGACAAGAAUUCAUCUUGAUCAAGCCUAAGGCCGUGGCAGGCAAGGUGUUGAGUCACCGGGUACAGCGGUCAUGCGACAUAAAUAUUAUUUGAUGACGAAUGUACUAAUGUACUCCAGGCUCAGGUUCCAAGGUAAACCACUGGCAAAGAUGACCGUGGUUAAGGCAUUAGAAAGCAGGGUCGACACUGAGACGCAGGUCCAGCCCUACAGGGACUGCAUUUUACGAUUGAGGCAAACUUCGGGUCUCCUCAUGUGACAUGCGUGUACUCCUGGAUGGUUUUAAUUAGGCGAAACGCGGUUUGCAGAGAUUCCCUCCAGUCGAUAGAGCGGAAUCUCUUUAGCUCCCACCCCUUCUUAACCUCAGGCUUCCUGUAUCCCGGAGUCCCCCUGGCAGCCCCUUCCCUCCCCCGCCCGGGGAUGCUCCGGCUCGGCGCUUAGCCAUUCAUCAACCGGUUCACACCGGUGGCGGCCGCCGCGGAGUGACGUCCGUGGGGGGGCGGGCCUCCGCCCCCGCCUGUCGGCGCCUGGCCCGCAGUUCCAGGCCGCGAUUGGUGGCUGCAGGGUUGCACGUCGCACUGGAUAUAAAGGGCAGGGCUUGUGACGCAAAGGCGCCUCGGCGCGUGUAUUGGCUCCUUCGGCUGCGGGCCGGCUAGGCUACGCGCUCUGCUCGGAGCCGCUCACUGCAUGGUAGAGUCUGGUGCCCCCGCCGCCGUCUGCAUCGCUGCCGCCGCCGCUCCGCCACGACCACCGUCGCCUCCUGCCCUGCAGCCGCCGCCACCACUUGUGUCGCCGCCGCCUCGGGACCGGCUGUAUGAUUAGGCCACAAUCUUCAAUGAGUAAACAUAUUCCUCAAUUCUGUGGUGUUCUUGGUCACACAUUUAUGGAGUUUCUGAAGGGCAGUGGAGAUUACUGCCAGGCACAGCACGACCUCUAUGCAGACAAGUGAACUGUAGAAAUUGAUUGCUA